GACGAACGCUGGCGGCGCGCCUAACACAUGCAAGUCGAACGAGCGAGCGAGAGCUUGCUUUCUCGAGCGAGUGGCGAACGGGUGAGUAACGCGUGAGGAACCUGCCUCAAAGAGGGGGACAACAGUUGGAAACGACUGCUAAUACCGCAUAAGCCCACGACCCGGCAUCGGGUAGAGGGAAAAGGAGCAAUCCGCUUUGAGAUGGCCUCGCGUCCGAUUAGCUAGUUGGUGAGGUAACGGCCCACCAAGGCGACGAUCGGUAGCCGGACUGAGAGGUUGAACGGCCACAUUGGGACUGAGACACGGCCCAGACUCCUACGGGAGGCAGCAGUGGGGAAUAUUGCACAAUGGGGGAAACCCUGAUGCAGCGACGCCGCGUGGAGGAAGAAGGUCUUCGGAUUGUAAACUCCUGUUGUUGAGGAAGAUAAUGACGGUACUCAACAAGGAAGGGACGGCUAACUACGU
rnacentral:rRNA from 1 species